rnacentral:rRNA from 1 species
CAGCGCCGCGGGAAUACGAAGGGUGCAAGCGUUAAUCGGAAUUACUGGGCGUAAAGCGUGCGUAGGCGGUUUGUUAAGUCUGCUGUGAAAUCCCCGGGCUCAACCUGGGAAUGGCAGUGGAUACUGGCAAGCUAGAGUGUGUCAGAGGAUGGUGGAAUUCCCGGUGUAGCGGUGAAAUGCGUAGAGAUCGGGAGGAACAUCAGUGGCGAAGGCGGCCAUCUGGGACAACACUGACGCUGAGGCACGAAAGCGUGGGGAGCAAACAGGAUUAGAUACCCGCGUAGUCCCUGUCUCUUAUACA